UUGCUACCCAGUUGCAUAAUGGUCUCCCAGCCAGCACCCAUUUCCGCCUGUUUGUCCUUCAGAGAGCCUGCCUCACUAGCACAGGGGUCAUCACCCGUGUCUGACAGGUGGCACAGGAUGGCGGCAUCCUGAGUUUCCCAGAAGCAGUUUUUUUCUGUCCGUUGGUGUCCGCUUUGGUCAUGAGUACUCAGUAUGUUGAGGCUGGACAAGUCUACGGUCUGCUACUCAAGGUGAUUACCCAAAGAUGGCUCCAGUCCAGGGCUUUCAAGAUACUUCAAGGUCGAGCUUUUAUGAUGCCAGAAUGCUGAGUUUUCUCUGUGAAAGGCCACCAAGAAGAGUACUUUGGAGUUAUGGUCACAUAAUAUUUAAAUCCUUCUUUCCUUCCCUCCCUAGUACACCAUUUAUUUUCCCUGAGAAUGUAAGUGUUUACAUUCUAUAUAUUGCUGUAUUUCCCUCCCACCCGCCUCUUUUUUUUUUUUUUUUUUUUUUUAAUUUUGGUACUGGGGAUUGAACUUACAACCUCAUGCCUGACAGGCAAAGCACUGUGCCUCUAAGCUCUGUCCCCAGCCCUGUAUUUCCCUUUGUUUAAACUAUUUUUCCAUGUGAUAUAAAUAAACCACCUCAUUGUUUAAAAAAGUUGUAGGAACAUGCAGAGUGAUUUUAGUCAUUUUUUAAAAAAAUUUUAACAUAUAUGAAGGUUUGGACAGCUAUUUUGAAGAGAAUGAGAGACACUAUGACAGCCAUUGUUGACUUCCCUAUUGUCUGGUUUUGAAGACCUAAAAUGUCUUCAUCAUCCUGUUCAGAUCAGUUUGGUACUAUUUUGGUUUGUAUGAAUUCAUUGUGUGUGAAGAUAUGGACAACUACUUGGAAGAAAACAAGAGGCAAUAUGAUAGAUAGUGAAGAUCUAUUGUCUUGCAUUAAAAUCUAUGUCUCUUACAUUGUUUUCUUCUAAUCUGCUUUGUUCUGUUUUGCUGUGUUUAGUUUUAUCCUCUUUAAAAUAAAAUUUAAAAUAAUUGUAGGAACAUGUAA